rnacentral:rRNA from 1 species
UGGAACUGAGAGACGGUCCAAGACUUCCUAACGGGAGGGCAGGCAGGUGGGGGAAAUAAUGGGGGCAAAUGGGGCGAAAGGCCCUGACCCCAGGCAACCGCGGCGUGAGGGAAAGAAGGGUUUUCGGAUUGUAAACCUCUGUCCUAGGGGACGAAGGGAGUGACGGUACCUUAGGAGGAAGCCCCGGCUAACUACGUGCCAGCAGCCGCGGUAAUACGUAGGUGACAAGCGUUGUCCGGAUUUACUGGGUGUAAAGGGCGCGUAGGCGGGUGAGCAAGUCAGUCGUGAAAUACCGGAGCUUAACUCCGGAGCUGCGAUUGAAACUGUUCAUCUUGAGUAUCGGAGAGGAAAGCGGAAUUCCCAGUGUAGCGGUGAAAUGCGUAGAUAUUGGGAGGAACACCAGUGGCGAAGGCGGCUUUCUGGACGACAACUGACGCUGAGGCGCGAAAGUGUGGGGAGCAAACAGGAUUAGAUACCCUGGUAGUCCACACCGUAAACGAUGGAUACUAGGUGUAGGAGGUAUCGACCCCUUCUGUGCCGCAGUUAACACAAUAAGUAUCCCACCUGGGGAGUACGACCGCAAGGUUGAAACUCAAAGGAAUUGACGGGGACCCGCACAAGCGGUGGAGUAUGUGGCUUAAUUCGAUGCAACGCGAAGAACCUUACCAGGGCUUGACAUCCCGCGAAGACUCGUGAAAGCGAGGGAUACCCUUCGGGGACGCGGAGACAGGUGCUGCAUGGCCGUCGUCAGCUCGUGUCGUGAGAUGUUUGGUUAAGUCCAGCAACGAGCGCAACCCCUGCUGCCGGUUACCAGCGAGUAAAGUCGGGGACUCAGGCGGGACUGCCCAGAUCAACUGGGAGGAAGGUGGGGACGACGUCAGGUCAGUAUGGCCCUUACGCCCUGGGCUGCACACGUACUACAAUGCCCAGUACAGAGGGAGGCGAGUCGGAGACGGCAAGCGGAUCCCAAAAAGUGGGCACAGUUCGGAUUGGAGGCUGCAACUCGCCUCCAUGAAGUCGGAAUCGCUAGUAAUGGCGCAUCAGCAACGGCGCCGUGAAUACGUUCCCGGGUCUUGUACACACCGCCCGUCACAUCAUGGAAGCCGGUUUCACCCGAAGUAUCGGGAGCCAACCGCAAGGGGGCAUGGUCCUAAGGAGAGACUGGUAACUGGGAUGAAGUCGUAACAAGGUAG